ensembl:lncRNA
GAGAGACUGGGAUGACCAACACUGGUAGGCAGACAGACUGGGAUGACCAACACUGGUAGGUAGAGAGACUGGGAUGACCAACACUGGUAGGCAGACAGACUGGGAUGACCAACACUGGUAGGCAGAGAGACUGGGAUGACCAACACUGGUAGGUAGAGAGACUGGGAUGACCAACACUGGUAGGUAGAGAGACUGGGAUGACCAACACUGGUAGGUAGAGAGACUGGGAUGACCAACACUGGUAGGUAGAGAGACUGGGAUGACCAACACUGGUAGGCAGAGAGACUGGGAUGACCAACACUGGUAGGCAGAGAGACUGGGAUGACCAACACUGGUAGGUAGAGACAGACUGGGAUGACCAACACUGGUAGGCAGAGAGACUGGGAUGACCAACACUGGUAGGCAGAGAGACUGGGAUGACCAACACUGGUAGGUAGAGACAGACUGGGAUGACCAACACUGGUAGGUAGAGACAGACUGGGAUGACCAACACUGGUAGGUAGAGACAGACUGGGAUGACCAACACUGGUAGGCAGAGAGACUGGGAUGGCCAACACUGGUAGGUAGAGAGACUGGGAUGACCAACACUGGUAGGUAGAGAGACUGGGAUGACCAACACUGGUAGGUAGAGACAGACUGGGAUGACCAACACUGGUAGGUAGAGACAGACUGGGAUGACCAACAAUGGUAGGUAGAGACAGACUGGGAUGACCAACACUGGUAGGCAGACAGACUGGGAUGACCAACACUGGUAGGUAGAGACAGACUGGAUGACCAACACUGGUAGCUUGGCAUGUAAAGGCGAGGAAGAUGCCAAUGCCACUACAGUAUAUCUCCAUGGAAGUAUGAACCCCCAUAGCUAGCUACAGUUGGGCUCAAUUCCAUUUCAAUUCCAGUCAAUUCAGGAAGUAAAAGUAUCUCCAAUACUUUUCAAUGAGGAAUUGGA